AUGGUUAAGUUAGAAAGGGCGCACGGUGGAUGCCUUGGCACUAGGAGCCGAUGAAGGACGGGACGAACACCGAUAUGCUUCGGGGAGCUGUAAGCAAGCUUUGAUCCGGAGAUUUCCGAAUGGGGAAACCCACUGCUCGUAAUGGAGUAGUAUCCAUACUUGAAUACAUAGAGUAUGAGAAGGCAU
rnacentral:rRNA from 1 species